AACACAACUUCAGCUGUCUAACCAGAACUAGAAUGGCAUUUCUCUUUCUAUGGUCUAGUUGCCCAAAUUGAAGGAUUUGUCUGCUCUCUGGGUGAGGUUCUGUCUGUCUAACCACACACUGACAUGUACAGCUCUCUGGGUGAGGUUCUCUGUCGAACCACACUGACAUGUACAGCUCUCUGGGUGAGGUUCUGUCUGUCUAACCACACUGACAUGUACUGCUCUCUGGGUGAGGUUCUGUCUGUCUAACACACUGACAUGUACAGCUCUCUGGGUGAGGUUCUGUCUGUCUAACCACACUGACAUGUACAGCUCUCUGGGUGAGGUUCUGUCUGUCUAACCACACUGACAUGUACAGCUCUCUGGGUGAGGUUCUGUCUGUCUAACACUACUGACAUGUACAGCUCUCUGGGUGAGGUUCUUUCUGUCUAACCACACUGACAUGCACAGUUCUUUGGGUGAGGUUCUGUCUGUCUAACCACACUGACAUGCACAGUUCUCUGGGUGAUGUUCUGUCUGUCUAACCACACUGACAUGUACAGCUCUCUGGGUGAUGUUCUGUCUGUCUAACCGCACACUGUCCUUAACAAUUACAAGCAUACCCAUAACAUGAUGGAGACACCACUGCUUGAACAUAUUGAGUGGUACUCAGUAAUUACAUUUACAUUACAUUUAAGUCAUUUAGCAGACGCUCUUAUCCAGAGCGACUUACAAAAUGGUGCAUUCACCUUAUGAUAUCCAGUGGAACAACCACUUUACAAUAG
rnacentral:lncRNA from 1 species